rnacentral:lncRNA from 1 species
GUUCCACCUUCUUCUGAAUGGACUCAAUGUGCUACACAGAGUUGUGUCGGGGUAGAAGUUGCAAUCAGAUGUCUCUUGAAGUAACAUGUCAUCCAGAGUCCACUCCCCAUUGGAUGAGUCAUUCACUGGUCUUCCAACAAAACAGAUGGUGAGCAGUGGAGAAGUCAGGGAAAGUGAAGAAAAUGAAAGAGGGAGAAAAAUGGUGUUUCUCACCAAACCCAUGAUAGACCCAGAAGUCAUCCAGCGUCUAAAAUCUUGGAAUAACUCCAUGGAUCAUGAAACCAAGGAAGACUGUGGGAGAAAGAGCAUAUGUCAAUGUAGAAUUUGGCCUCACAAGCUAGAAGACAAAGUGCUGGUCAGGACAUAGAGACUGAUAAUAAAAAUUCCUACUUUUAAUUUUUUAAAGCAGAUUAUGCGUUAUGUUUUCUGAAAUGACUUGCCAGAUAAUGUUUCAGGAGGAAGUUUGAAUAAAAUAUUCCAGCAACUGUU